rnacentral:rRNA from 1 species
UACAGGGGGUGCAAGCGUUGUUCGGAAUUACUGGGCGUAAAGCGCGGGCAGGUGGCCUUUUAAGUCCUUUGUGAAAUCCCGGAGCUCAACUCCGGAUGUGCAUAGGAUACUGGAAGGCUUGGGACUGGUAGAGGCGAGCGGAAUUCCUGGUGUAGCGGUGGAAUGCGUAGAUAUCAGGAGGAACACCGAUGGCGAAGGCAGGUCUCUGGGCCACUACUGACGCUGAGAAGCGAAAGCAUGGGGAGCGAACAGG